CCAUUUGAGAAGACAUAAGUAAAAUCCCCAGAUCAUCUAGAUGGGAGAGAACGAGAACCAUUCGGAUUUUAUGUAUGCCUUUUGUUGUUUGCUUGGCGUUUGUGUCACGAAAGCAUUUCUGUCCAUUUAAAGUGUCCUUUUCUCUCUUGUAUGCCCUCAGACCAGUGUCCAGAUUGCCCCGACCCGCGGGACUCAGUUAUUCGUGGGGGGAACGAGGAGACCCCAGCCUGUAAGAGAAACGGGCGAGAAAGGAGAACGAGACCAAGCAAAUUCGUGUCAAGGUCAAAGAAAACAUCCAGUAAAGUUAUUCGCUGCCUUCCCUUCCAAAAUUGUCAACUGCUUCUGCUUCAUUACAGUUCUGGCUUUAGUUGUGGUUGUACUUUCUGUUAGCUUAAGAAGUGAGAGAUGAGCAUGGCCUGUUCUGGUGAUGCCAACAACGAUGGAGGAUGGGCAGGGUACUCAGAUUCUGAGUACUUCAAAAGACAAGCCAACAAAACCGCUUAGCUUUUGGGACAGGAAGUUUCAAAAAGAGAAGAGGUCAAGUUGAUUUGAAGGGGUUUGUUUUUCUGUAUCCUGAGCAAUGGCAAAAAUAUAGUUGGCAUUUACUGCUAUGAAAAAUGCUAUUUAAACAUGUUGUUUGUGGCCUCUCUUCUGAUGUCACAACUCAUUUUAAAGGUGAUUUAAUGUAUGGAGGGUGGGGGGAUCUUCUAAAAUUUAUUGUGGCAAUGAUUGUA